GAGCCGAGGGGUCGGGCACUGGUAAAGAAACGAUGGUGUGUUUUGAUUAUUAUGAUGAUAAU
rnacentral:ribozyme from 13 species